rnacentral:lncRNA from 1 species
UCGCGGACCACAUGAUCGGGAACGUGUACGUGCAGUUCCGCGAGGAGGAGCAGGCGGCGCGCGCGCUGCAGGCUCUGCAGGGCCGCUACUACUCGGGCCGCCCCAUCAUCGCCGAGUUCUCCCCCGUGACGGACUUCCGGGAGGCCACCUGCCGCCAGUUCGAGGAGCACAGCUGCAACCGCGGCGGAUACUGCAACUUCAUGCACGUCAAGCAGGUCGGACGGGACCUGCGGCGGAAGCUGUUCGGCCACCUGCAUCGCUCCCACCGGAGCCAUAGCCGCGGCAGCCGCAGCCCGAGCCCGUACCGCCGCCACGGUAGCUCGUCCAGGUCCAGGGACCGUGACGAUGACCAUGACUAUUACUACCACUACCGUAGCGGUAGUGGCAGCCGCAGGAGCAG